UGGGGAAUUUUGGACAAUGGGGGCAACCCUGAUCCAGCCAUGCCGCGUGCGGGAAGAAGGCCUUCGGGUUGUAAACCGCUUUUGUCAGGGAAGAAAUCCUCUGGGCUAAUACCUCGGGGGGAUGACGGUACCUGAAGAAUAAGCACCGGCUAACUACGUGCCAGCAGCCGCGGUAAUACGUAGGGUGCGAGCGUUAAUCGGAAUUACUGGGCGUAAAGCGUGCGCAGGCGGUUGUGCAAGACGGAUGUGAAAUCCCCGGGCUAACCUGGGAACUGCAUUUGUGACUGCACGGCUGGAGUGCGGCAGAGGGGGAUGGAAUUCCGCGUGUAGCAGUGAAAUGCGUAGAUAUGCGGAGGAACACCGAUGGCGAAGGCAAUCCCCUGGGCCUGCACUGACGCUCAUGCACGAAAGCGUGGGGAGCAAACAGGAUUAGAUACCCUGGUAGUCCACGCCCUAAACGAUGUCAACUGGUUGUUGGACGGCUUGCUGUUCAGUAACGAAGCUAACGCGUGAAGUUGACCGCCUGGGGAGUACGGCCGCAAGGUUGAAACUUAAAUGAAUUGACGGGGUCAUAGCUGUUUCCU
rnacentral:rRNA from 1 species